AAAAGGUGGAAACAUCCCUCCCCAGCCCCAUGGUUUCAUUGGAAGAGCCAGAUAUUUCUAAUCCAUCUGUUGCUUCUGACAAUUCUCCUGCUCAAAGAAGUGCUGCAUCAUCUCCUGCAACUGUUCAUGAGGUAUGUCAUUGACUCAUCUGGUUAGAAUGUCAUUCUGAUAUAUCUAUACAGGGCUGUUACAUUGCAUACUCAUUUGUCCAAUACCACCCAUAGGGCCCCACAGCUCCACCGUCAGAUGAGGAUAGUAACUCCAAUGAAUAUUUCACAUAUGAGAUUCCUAAUGAGGAGGCUUUCUUCAUUCUGUCAUUAAAUGAAUGGGAGUCAAUGAGAUCAACACAGAAAAGGAGGCAGUUCAUCACACUUAACUGGACGAAUAUAAUUUCCAAGGGCAUUCGUGAGGUCCAACCGUAUUGUAGUUUUGGAUUCAAGCGGCACAGUGUAAAGACAAUAGGCUCAAAAUCCUCUGCUCCAUUAUUUCAAUGUGAAGGCUACUGCCUUUUCCAGGACUGCCCGGUUAAGGUUAAGGUAAAGAUGUUGGAUGAUUCCACCUUAAAGGCUGCUGUGCUGUUCGAAGGUGGUGUUGUCUGCCACAAAAAAAACGAAAUAAAGGCAAGACCCGUCAGGGCUGAUGACAGGCAAGCUUAUGCUGCAGUUCUGAAAUCCAAUCUGCCACGACAAGUCUAUCUUUCUAAUCUCAACAAGCUUGAACAGGAUGUCUUUGAAUCUGGAUGCAGGGACAAGGCACCACCAACUGGUGUUUUGAAAACCAUCUCCUGGGCAGAAAAAAGAAAUACAUGGCUCGAUGAGGAUGAAAUCAAAAGUCUCCAAAUAAUGUUGGACCAGCAGAAGGGGAAAGAUGACAAAAUCGUCCAGAAGGUCCUACUGGAACCCAAAGGGGUGAUGCUGUGGUCAAAGAAGUCUAUGGCCAUUUUUGUCGAAAGAUCCAAAGAGGACAUAGUUUAUCUGGAUGCCACAGGAAGCAUUUUAAAGAGAGGCACAGGGGACAGUGGACCAUAUUACAUAUAUGAAAUGGUAGUCCGAAACCCAACGAAAGGACGCUCCCCUCUUCCUGUAGCCACAUUUGUGACCUGUGAGCACACCACAGCCUCCCUGUCCUUUUUUUUGAGUUCCUUCAUGACAGAUUGCACCAGAUCAUACGGACCAAACGUGCGGAAGCGUCCUGUUAUGUUCAUAUGUGAUGGAUCUAUAGUACUCAUGCAAGCUAUUGCAUACAACCUGUGUGGACUUAGUCUGUCACAGCUAAACAGUGAAUACUAUAGAUUAGCAAUUGGUCAAGCUAAUGAGGUAGCAUGUCGACUCCCCAUUCUACAUCGUUGCCUCAGCCAUGUUAUGAAGAAUGCACAGGCCUUCAGCAAGAAACAUGCACCCCUUCACUAUCAAUUAUCAAUGCACCUUAUUGGGACCAUGACGCAAGCCUCCAGCCUACACCAGCUUGACGACAUAGUUGCAAGUGCUACUGUUGUUUUUUCCAGUCCUUGCAAUGGUGUGAAUGUCAAUGUGCACUUCCAUAAGCUUCAACAUUUAAUGCUGAAUUUAAAAAAUGAAGACAUUGAAGUUGAUGACAUGGAAGACGACAUCUUGGUAAGCCUAUUAUAGAGACAAAUUCUGUCAACUAUUUGUAUAUUUAUUUCUUUUAAUCUCUUGCAAUUCCGUUGCUUGUCACAAUCGACAUUAAGAGCUAAACUCCUUUUUAAAUAUUCCAUUUACCUGGCAAUUCUGAAAAUGUUUAUCUCUCUAAGUUCUAAUUCAAGCAAUCCUUUUUGUCCAAUGUUAGGAUGACAUUUGUCUGGAGCCCUUUCACGUGCAUUUCCAAAGAAUCAUACAGGAUGCACCACUCGAUAGAGAAGGG
ensembl:lncRNA